rnacentral:rRNA from 1 species
ACGGUCGGUGUUAACGCCUCCCGUCGGUCUCACGCCCCGCGCGUCCGGAGCCGUUGCCUUCCCCUUCCGCCUGCGCCGCGCACCGCAAACCCCCUCCCCCUCCACGGCAACCGCAGCCGAAAAAGCUCCCACUAAACAAGAAGCAGAGCACGAGGCUUCCACUUCCACGACGCAAUCUACAUCCCUUCUUCCUCCUCCUGCACCCGCACCCCACCCAAAAGGAAGCAAGAAUCUGCGCCUGCACCACAGUCCCUCCUUUCCCCCUCCUCCCCACCUCCCCGGAGCCCGCCCAGCAUCGGAUCCUUCGCCCCCCGGGGCGGUUUCUGAAGCCAGCCGAGCCAGCCCAGUCCCACCACCAAUGGGCGCCGUGGCGGUUCCUUUCGCUGCUCGUUUUCUGGUGUAACCACUCCGGCCCCGGCCCCGACCAUCUAUCCCAUCUCCCUGCGCUUUUGCGUCGGCAAGGCUCCCCUCCAACUCCAACCAAGCUUUCCAACGGCACGGGCUUGUCUCCCGCCGGAGGGAGGGCCCACUGCCCCUGUCGUCUUGCUGGCGCUGGCACUCUAGUCCUUCCUAGGUUGUCCCUCCCUGCAUCGUCUUGGGGUGGUCCGAAUCUUCAGUCAGGCAUCUAGGUAUUCUAGCCUUGCUUGUGUUUGGGGUUUCGCUCGUUGCUUCCCAACUGUCCAAGGUUUUGCCAAGUUUUGGGUGACCAAGGAUUCCUGGUGAGGAGGAUUCUGGUUCUCCUGAAACUCCUUGGUGCUCCGAAUUUGGGGUGUUUUGGAGUCUUGGCCUCCUCGGGCUCCUGCUUCUUGGUUGGUCCGACUCCGACCAAGGCUCAAGAAGAAGUUGCCAAUGGAGCCGCCUAGUAGCAGCAGGUUCUGGGCUUCUCUCUGGACCUUCAUCAAGUUCCUGCCCUACUUCUGCGGCCUCUUCAUCCUUGGGCUCAUUAAAGGUGUUCUGCUAUGCCCUUGGGCAUGCCUUAUUAUGGCAAUCGGAAUAUCUGCACUAAUUCUUGGGUUAUGGCCUAUGCAUCUGAUUUGGACAUACUACUGCAUCAUCAGAACCAGAAUGGUUGGACCUGUAGUAAAGCUUCUACUUCUUGUUGCUGCCACUGUGAUCAUGUUCUUAUGGUUGAUAGUUGGCAUCCCGGGAAGCGUUUUGGCUGGAUUAUUAUAUGGCUUUCUAGCACCAAUAAUGGCCACAUUCGAUGCAGUUGGAGAAGGCAAAGAAAAUACAUUUGUUCAUUGCUUUGUGGAUGGAACUUGGAGCACUAUUACUGGGAGUUGUACAGUGGUCAGGGAUUUGAAAGACAUGCUUUUCCACUCCUAUUUUUCAAUUAUGGAUGACCUUCGAUUUCAGACACCUCCUGGUGGAAAGCCAUAUGAGAUAAGAUUGCUUGAUAUUCCUGGGGCGUUGUUGUCUGCUGCUUGUGGACUCAUACUGGAUGUAAUAAUGUUCACACUAAUUGCCAUCUACAAGUGCCCUGUGAUGCUUUUCAAAGGGUGGAAACGACUGAUUCAGGAUUUGAUUGGGAGAGAAGGACCUUUUCUGGAGACAGCAUGUGUGCCAUUCGCAGGUCUUGCUAUUCUUCUCUGGCCAUUUGCGGUACUAGGGGCUGUUCUUGCAUCUAUCCUCUCCAGUAUUCCUUUAGGCCUGUUUGGUGCAGUUGUAGCUUACCAGGAAUCCUCUGUAGUCAUGGGACUCUCUUAUGCUGUCUCAUCUGUGUCCAUCUUUGAUGAGUACACGAAUGAUGUACUUGACAUGGCACCGGGAUCUUGCUUUCCAAGGUUGAAAUAUCGGAAACAGAAAAAUGAAGAUUCUUCACAUGGUGGUCACCUAUCUAAGCCAGGCUCAUUCGACAAGGAGAACCAAGAAGGAAAGAAACCUCUAAACCGUGUUACAUCAUUUAAGAACAGCAUGGAUGAGUUCAAUCCAUUCAAGAUGCUGGACCACUUAUUUGCUGAAUGCAAGCGGCAGGGAGAGAUUUUGGUGAACGAAGGAGUGAUAACAAUGAAAGACAUCCAAGAAACGAAGUCAGGCAAAGUUGGCAGUGGGGUUCUUAACGUUGGAUUACCGGCAUAUGUAAUCCUUAAUGCCCUCCUUCGGUCUGCAAAAUCUAACUCUAAUGGCCUAAUCUUGAGUGAUGGUGCUGAGAUUACAUCUGAUAAUAGGCCUAAAAGCACUCUCUUUGACUGGUUCUUCGACCCUCUUAUGAUCAUCAAGGAACAAAUUAAAGCCGAGAAUUUCACAGAAGAAGAGGAAGAAUACCUCAAAAUGCGAGUCCUGAUGGUUGGUGAGCCCAGUAACCUCAAGGGCACUCUUCCUCAUGUGCCAUCACUGAAUGAGCGGAAAAAAGCAGAAAUCGACGCAUUUGCUCGAAGAUUGCAAGGAAUCACAAAGUCGAUAUCGAGAUAUCCUACAUCCAAGCGCCGUUUCGAUGUUCUUGUGAAGUCUCUGUUGUCGGAGCUCGAGAGGACGAUGGGUGGCAGCUUGCCUGCCAAUGGAUCCCAAGCGUUAAGGUUGAGAGGCGGUAUUGCCCGAAUGCUUAGCCAGAAAUCCGUUGGGAAGACGGCAAACAUCACGGAUGAAGAUCCAGAAGCGCAAGUAACAAGGAAGGCUCGCACCCCGUGAUAGCCGAGUCUUUGGCUGUGUAUUGUGUACGUAGUUGACAAGCUAGUGAGAGACCAGCUCUGUAAAAAUGUGUAAAAGAGAAACAGCUUGAGCGUUCUUAGGUGUAGCUUGAGUUGUUGCAAGUUUUGUUGUGUAAUUUGCUGCUAUUGGUUUUUGCAGACUACAUUUAUGAGAAAUCUUGCAAGGUCUCGCUACUAUGUUAGCGUUUGAACUACCACGUGACAUGUGAUAAGCAAUCCAAACUACUACAAAAAAUGUAAACAUUUGAACUUGUCUCUGAUAUCACGAGGAGAAAUUGCAUUAAACAAA